GAGGAGCAGAGAGGAGCAGGUGUGGCUGCAGGUGGAGGUGCUUAGAGGAGAGGAGGGAAUCUCACAGGACCACUGGGCCAUGAGUGGUGGCCUGAGAUUGGACUUAAUGCCAUGUAGUAUAUGUUUUCUGUUUGAUGGAGGAAUUUAAACUUUCACCUCUUAUAGUGAGAGCUCACAUCUCCUUCAAGAAAGGAAUUAUUUCUGAUACCUCAGUGAAAUAGAGAGAGGUAAUGAAAAUGUGUCAUUUUUGGAACUAUAUGUGUUUAGGUUUCUUGACUUGACUGUUUAUUAGGUGAGUAUGUUGGAUAAAUUAACUCACCUUCUUUGAGUCUCGAAAUCUUCUGGGGCGACACGGAAAUAUUAACACGCACUUCAUGGGGCAAUGUGUGCAUGAAAUAGGAGGUCAUAUGCAAGAGCCAGCAGCAUGCCCAGCAAAUCUUUCUGCUCAAGCCCCAAGGGUUCCAUGUCACCGGGCUAAGCUGCCUGAUACUGGGUCAUCCGGGGAAAAGAAGGCAAGGUCUGCCCCAGAUAAGCCAGUAGGGAGACCAGAUGUCAUUUCUGAGGUUUUUUAACUGAGUGGAACUUUUUAUGCAGGAAAACAAGGUAAAAAUUUCCCAAGGGGUUUCUACAAGAUUUCCAGCACUUCCUAAAUUAGCCCUGACCAGUAAAACCACGAGAGAAGACUUCCUGGCAGAGCCUGGCACUUCCAUUUCCAGUCCCAACCGAAAGCAGGAAGCAUUGAGACAAGUAAUAAUUCAACUCUUCAGUUGGCUUCCAAAAUUAUCCACAUUCAGGUCACCUGGCAUUCGCACCAAAGUGAGAUGGCAGGACCAGCAGACAAUGCAGCCUUAUGAUUCAAACAGAAGAAACACUCAUCUUGAUUCCUGUGUGCUGUUUGCCAGGAGAGUUAUCACCACUUGCGGGUGCACAAGCAUUGUGAGCUUGGCCAGAGUUCACAGCUCAGUGGAACCCACCAGGCAACCCUACAGCAUUUCCUGUCGUUCCCUUUGCCUCCCAGCUCUGUCCCUGCUGGGGGCCUACUGCUUAGACAUUCUCCAUCUGUGAUUCCUUUGAGUGCAGCUCAGACAUUUCCACACCUUCUUCUCCACAUACACAGAGUGGAGACAGACCCUUCAGAGGCUGGAGGUGGAGACUUCCAACAGAGCCAGCGCAACUCCAUCCUUUCAAAAAUGGAGAAAUGAGGCCUGAGAAGUGAGGUGAAUUGCUGCCUGGAUGCAUUCAUGCCAUCUUCCUAUUAACGAGAGAUGUUACCAAAAACACUUAGAUCAGUCACCCUUUACACUAAAGCAGCAAAUAAAUUGAACGAUUCUCAAGAGAGUGGGAGAGGUUGAUCUAGAGGCUUUGUCUCCCACGAUGUGGUCUCCAAAAACCACCCUGCAUUACAAUAGCUGUGGUAGAAAGACGAUCAACAGUUCAUACUCACAGGGCUCUUGUAUUGGCACACGUCACCUUAUUUCACUCCCUCAGCACCCUUUGAAAUAAAUACUAUGGGGAUAACAAUUUUCCAUGUGUGGAAACCAACACUCAGGGAAGUGAAGUUACUAGCCCAAAGUCACAGAGAACUUGGCGGAGCUGGGGUUGGGGUCUUUGUCCUUCCAGAACAUGUAUUCCUAACUGUUGUCCAUUCUGCUGACCAUAAUGAAACAUUACCUGAACGUCCGCUAGGAGUUGCACCCAACCACUCAGUCACUGAGUUAGGAGGUGGGGGGGGGGGGGGGGGUGGUUGCUUUUUGCUGAAUUCUCCCAUCAGCAAGUGAUUUCAUGGCCUGAGGGUUGAGGCAAACUGGAAUGUGUGCAAACCGACCGAGGAACUACCCAAAUCUCUCCUUAUCUGUGCAGCAUCUGCUGUGCAAUAACUGUGUCCCCAGCACAAGCCAGAGAGAACUCUCGAUGGCUUGAUCAAGCAGCCCUUGUGCAACGGCCUGCUGCAUCCAGAAAUCUCUUACCCAAGAUCACUUCAGCCUUGCCGUUCUUGAAUGCUGGAAGGCAGCAUAGCCAGCGUGGGGUCCCGUGGUCUCAGCUCGCCGGUUCUAAUUCUCCCUCUGCUGUGCAUUAGUGUGGGCUGGGGUGAGUCGUUUCACCCCAGGCCUCAUUUCCUUCUCUUUAAAAUGUCAUA
rnacentral:lncRNA from 1 species